UUAUUCUUUUUCGCUGCCUUGUAAGCCUCCGAUUCGAUUUGGCGGUGACCGGCAACUAAUCGACCGUUCUCGAAAUAGAGUUUGACUAAUGUGGCAUAGCCGUCAAAGAGAUGCCGGAAAUUAUAAUCCCCUAUGUGCCAGAGUCCAGGUCCGUUUCUAAGGUACGUCCCUUUCUGCAUGUGUUAAUUUUUGCCAAUCAAGUCAAAGAUUAAUUGACAUUUAUUUAUUUUUAAUUAUCUAAAAAAUUGUAGAAAAUUAGAAUCCCAUACUCAAACUGAAUAUUUUGUUUAAGUUCAGAAGUAUUAGAAAAAUAUAAAUGGAUUCAUGCAUGAGUUUUUAAAAAAAAAUACAAAUAAUAAUAAUAUUUUUUGGUUUUAUAAAAAAGUAAUUAAUAAUUUUUUUUUAAAUUACAGCACAAGAUAAAACUUGAAAAUUACAGGGCACAGAAAAUAUGCAUGCAUAUCUAUCCCCAGAUUAUAAGUCUGUGUUUUAUGUUCACAAACAAAUUAAGCAGUGCAUGUGAAUAAAUCUAAAAGAAAAAAGUAAAAUUUAUUUUAUUUAAUUAAUAAUUAUGCAUCUUAAAAAAUAAAUUAAAAAAAAAAAGCAUCAGAAUCAGUGGGGCUAACAAAACACUCAGAAGCAAACAUAUUGAUGAUUACAAGUGAUUCUGUAGAAUGUCUGACCUGAUGUUUUCUUUUGGAUAUGCAUCAGAAUUAAGGACAAAAAAAAAUCUUUUUUUUUAAAAAAAAAAACCCAUAAUAUUAAAUACUAGGCAAGUAUUUUAAUUUAAAUAUUUAACGCAUUAAUUCUGAAUAAAGGUGAAAAUAUGUAUUUAAUCAUUAUCUUUCUUAUUUAAUGGUAAAUCUUUCUCAUUUACAACUGACAAAAAUACUACCAAAUAUAUUCUGGAAUUUCCUUAAUAAUAAAAAAACGCCAAAAAGAUCCAAAUUGAUUUUUGGUUUAAAAGAAAAAAAAAAUUAAUACAUGUUCUUUGAUUAUCAAAUUAUUCUAUCUAAAUCCAAAGAAUGUUAAUUGAAAAAUAAGAUAGAAUUUUUUUUUUUUUUAAUAGGUUUAGAAAUGAGAAAGUGCACAAACCAGCCAUAAUGGAAUCUCUCCUUGUACAAGAAGCUCUCCUUCCCAUCUCUCUUGCCGGACACUAGUCCAGGCAACAUGAUUCCGGCCAGCACCAACAUCAU
rnacentral:lncRNA from 1 species